ensembl:snRNA U6 U6 spliceosomal RNA
GUGCUCACUUCUGCAGCAUAUAUUCAAGUCUUAGAAUGAUACAGAGACUAACUUGGUCCCUGAACACAGAUGACAUGCAAAUUUGUGAAGCAUUUUAUAUUUUU